rnacentral:pre_miRNA from 1 species
UAGCUUUGUCCUAAUUCAAGCAACUUUAACUUUGACUAAGUUUUUAGAAAAAUAUAUUAAUAUCUACAAUUUCAAAUAAAUGCACUAUGAACUAUGAAGACACGUUUCAUGGAGGGCUUAAUGAAACUAAUUCGAUGUUGUACACGCUGAUGCAUUUUUCUAUAAACUUUGCCAAAGUUGGAGAAGUUUGGUUUAGGAUGAAACUAA